GACGAACGCUGGCGGCGUGCUUAACACAUGUAAGUCGAACGGAAAGGCCCUGCUUGCAGGGUACUCGAGUGGCGAACGGGUGAGUAACACGUGGGUGAUCUGCCCUGCACUUCGGGAUAAGCCUGGGCGACUGGGUCUAAUACCGGAUAGGAGCCAUUUUUAGUGUGAUGGUUGGAAAGUUUUUUCGGUGUAGGAUGAGCUCGCGGCCUAUCAGCUUGUUGGUGGGGUAAUGGCCUACCAAGGCGGCGAAGGGUAGCCGGCCUGAGAGGGUGGACGGCCACCAUGGGACUGCGAUACGGCCCAGACGCCUACGGUAGGCAGCAGUGGGGAAUCUUGCCCAAUGGUCGCAAGUCUGUGGAAGCGACGCUGCGUUGGUGAUGACGGCCUUCGGGUUGUAAACUCCUUUCGCUAGGGACGAAGCUUUUGUGACGGUACCUAGAUAAGAAGCACCGGCUAACUACGUG
rnacentral:rRNA from 1 species